AUUGAACGCUGGCGGAAUGCUUUACACAUGCAAGUCGAACGGCAGCACGGGAGCAAUCCUGGUGGCGAGUGGCGAACGGGUGAGUAAUAUAUCGGAACGUGCCCAGUCGUGGGGGAUAACGUAGCGAAAGCUACGCUAAUACCGCAUACGAUCUAUGGAUGAAAGCGGGGGAUCGCAAGACCUCGCGCGAUUGGAGCGGCCGAUAUCAGAUUAGGUAGUUGGUGAGGUAAAGGCUCACCAAGCCGACGAUCUGUAGCUGGUCUGAGAGGACGACCAGCCACACUGGGACUGAGACACGGCCCAGACUCCUACGGGAGGCAGCAGUGGGGAAUUUUGGACAAUGGGCGCAAGCCUGAUCCAGCAAUGCCGCGUGCAGGAUGAAGGCCUC
rnacentral:rRNA from 1 species